UCAGUGUUUGUCAAGAUGGCGUGAUAUGUUCAUGUUCAUAUAGAUGGAUGUUGGAUUUAUUGGUGUACUUUAAAAAUUAACGAAUAUUUUGAAGGUACGUACAUAUAUACGCAUUAAAUAAAAGUAAAUUGAGUAAUUUAAGACGUAAUAAUAAUAUUGUUGCGUAUCCGAAUGGUUAAAAAAGAAACAAAAUAGUAUCUUUUUAGGUAUAAUGAUGGACGACUCUGAAAUAAAGGAGCUUAUUAUUCUAACUGGGAAAUAUGCCACAAUUUAAAGCUGGGACAGAAUGAUAUAAUAUAUAGCUUCAGAACAAUGUUAAGAAAGGAGUUAUUAACCAACUGCGGGGCCUUCCAGAAAUGGUAGAACUUCAUACAUUGAAUUGCUGAUAUACAAAGUGCUAUUAACAAAAGAAGGAAAAUUUGAGGAAGUUGGAUUUGCCUCUCCAUCCUUUUAUUAUUGUGUAGAAGCCAGUGGUUUAAGAGUGGAGAAAAUAUUUGUAUGUAAUAAUAACGUUUUAUAUCUUGUUUUAUUAAUAAAUAAUGAUUUUACCUUAACACAA
rnacentral:lncRNA from 1 species